rnacentral:lncRNA from 1 species
AGUGAUACAAGGCCGUAAAAUGUAUCGUUGAAGAACUUAUGGUUGUGCAUUGCUCAGUGUGUGAUGUGUUUAUGAGGUUGGUCCAAUAUCCAAGUGGUUCAAAGCUUGUCUACCAUCUUGAAGGAUUGAUUUCAAAGAACCUUCACUAACAUAGUGGUUCAAUCGAAAGACACCAUUAUUUAUGCAUAUGAGUGUCAGAUUACUUGGUGACCUUUUAGAAAUCCAUUUUCU